rnacentral:rRNA from 1 species
GGCGCGGUCGUCCGGCGGGGCUCCUUCAUUGGGGCCGUUUGUCUGGUUUUUCGACCGCACCAUUCUCGGGUAGUGUGU